rnacentral:rRNA from 1 species
CGGACACGCUGGCGGCGUGGAUUAGGCAUGCAAGUCGGACGGUAGGGCUUUAUCGUAAGAUAGAGUUUGAGAGUGGCGAACGGGUGAGUAACACGUAGGAAUCUACCCUUAAAGACGGGGACAACCCAGGGAAACUUGGGCUAAUACCGGAUGAGAGUGCGAGAGAUUGCAUUUAAAAGGAUGGCGAAAGUUGUCGCUUAGGGAUGAGCCUGCGGUCUAUUAGUUAGUUGGUGAGGUAAGAGCUCACCAAAGGCGAUGAUAGAUAGGCGGCCUUAACGGGUGGUCGCCCACACUGGGAUUGAGAUACGGCCCAGACUCCUACGGGGGGCAGCAGUGAGGGAUUUUCGGCAAUGGGCGAAAGCCUGACCGAGCGACGCCGCGUGAGCGAAGAAGGCCUUCGGGUCGUAAAGCUCUGUCUAGGGGGAAGAUAAUGACGGUACCAUACGAGGAAGCCCCGGCAAACUACGUG